GUCUCCUUCGUCUAGCGGUUAGGACAUCGCCCUCUCACGGCGGUAACAUGGGUUCAAUUCCCGUAGGAGACGCCA
rnacentral:tRNA from 1 species